rnacentral:rRNA from 1 species
UAAGCGGAGGAAAAGAAACCAACAGGGAUUGCCUUAGUAGCGGCGAGUGAAGCGGCAAAAGCUCAAAUUUGAAAUCUGGCACUUUCAGUGUCCGAGUUGUAAUUUGAAGAAGGUAUCUUUGGGUCUGGCUCUUGUCUAUGUUUCUUGGAACAGAACGUCACAGAGGGUGAGAAUCCCGUGCGAUGAGAUGUCCCAGACCUAUGUAAAGUUCCUUCGAAGAGUCGAGUUGUUUGGGAAUGCAGCUCUAAGUGGGUGGUAAAUUCCAUCUAAAGCUAAAUAUUGGCGAGAGACCGAUAGCGAACAAGUACAGUGAUGGAAAGAUGAAAAGAACUUUGAAAAGAGAGUGAAAAAGUACGUGAAAUUGUUGAAAGGGAAGGGCUUGAGAUCAGACUUGGUAUUUUGUAUGUUACUCUCUCGGGGGUGGCCUCUACAGUUUACCGGGCCAGCAUCAGUUUGAGCGGUAGGAUAAGUGCAAAGAAAUGUGGCACUGCUUCGGUAGUGUGUUAUAGUCUUUGUCGAUACUGCCAGCUUAGACUGAGGACUGCGGCUUCGGCC